GAUGAGCGCGUUAGGGAUUGCAGUGACAUCCUUUUUUGCUUUUUGGCAAAAAAGAUAUAACGGAAAGCCCGACCUUUA
rnacentral:sRNA from 1 species